UGAGGAUAAUAUAACGUAUAGAAUUCACAUCGAAUAGCAGUAUUUAAAAAAUAACCCCAAUAUGAGAGGUAGACUUUGCACGAAUGAUUCUCAGUACUUGUAUUCAUUUUUCCUAACGUGUUUCAAGUUCUUUUCAAUGAUGAUCACAAAUCUCAAUUACCUUACCUACAUUACUUGAAAAACCAUGAAAAAACAAUUGUGAAACUGAAUCUUCAAAAAUGAAAAGAAUCUUUGCUAAAUAGUUUUUGGUUCCAUUUUGUUAAUUCAGUUUUUUCUCCGUUUUUUCCACAGAUGUUUUACAGUACGUUAGAGUUCUCCUGCAUUCCAGAUAAGGUCAGGUAAGCCAAACACUGCUGUUUCGGGAAAUUCGGGGAUAGAGAAACACGUCACUUUCCGCAUGUUGUUGUGUGCAUUUUCCAACGUUAAGCUCAGUUUUGAGACAGUAGUCGUAUGUCGAAGGGAAACUUUUCAAUAAAAUCCCCAGAAUAUAUGAAAAA